UGAACUUACCAUAGAAAUGUGCACACAUUAGACUCUCAGUAAGUACUUGUUAAGUUAAUCAAGCACCCAAUUAGUCAUGGUGACCUCUGCUGAGAGAGCAUAAUCUUGGGAAGAGUGGGAGACAAGAUCCUGGUCUCUAAAGGUUGGGAGACUUGAAUUCUAGGCACCUGAAUGGACAGAAGAGGACCUCAGCCAACUGACAAGAAGUAUGGUUAAGUUCCCAGGAGGGACUCCAGGUCGAUGGGAAAAGAUUGCCCACGAAUUGGGUCGAUCUGUGACAGAUGUGACAACCAAAGCCAAGCAACUGAAGGAUUCAGUGACCUGCUCCCCAGGAAUGGUUAGACUCUCCGAACUCAAAUCGACAGUUCAGAAUUCCAGGCCCAUCAAAACGGCCACCACCUUGCCCGAUGACAUGAUCACCCAGCGAGAGGAUGCAGAGGGG
rnacentral:sRNA from 1 species